rnacentral:lncRNA from 1 species
CACCUCUCUCUCUCUCUCUCUCUCUCUCUCUCUCUCUCUCUCUCUCUCUCUCUCUCUCACCAGAAAACCCUACCGAUGGCUCUGCAUAAUUAUUUCUCUUCUUGUCAGGCACAGCUCCUGGGCUGUGGUUACUUGCUUGCAUUUGAGCAGAUCGAUGGAUUCGACUUCUGUGAUCCUACGAGAAACAAAGCAUUGACGGGUGAAGAUCACGCAGCAGCAGUUGACAUGUAUCACCACUGUUGCAGGUUUUCAUCUUGGUUCCUUGAUCUCUGCAUUCAUUAGGUGCAUGUCUUAUUAUUGUCUUGAGGAUCGAUGGCACAUCAAAUGCUGCUAGCUAGGCGCAGCAGUGUACACUGAUCCGGAAUUACCUGAUGGUUUUAAGGAUCUGCAUAGAUAUGUUCACAGAGGUAUAUUCUUCUCUUGUCACUUGUUUGAUGAACAAGAUGGAUUCAAUCAUCACAUUUACAUGCUAAAGUUCAAGGAACUGUUGCACAUCAGCACUGGAAUUUUUCUUCUUCGGUUUUCUUGUUCUUUGUGAGAUCCAUGUGUAAGUGUUCAGGACCUCAUAUAUAUUGGACUCCUUUCUAAUAGCUUAGUCAAGUAUAUAUAUAAGAGAAGGUUGUCCUUCACUUAAUACUUAUAUGUUGUAAUUUGAGCUUACAUGAUCUACUUGGGUUCAGUUCAUAUGUCAUGUCUAAUCCAGUUUGCAUGUGGGAGAUGUUAGAGCUUAAUAUUUGUUGAAUCACUUCUUAAUAUCUUAAGCACAGUAAUGUAGCCAAUGAUUUUGGAUUUAGGUAGAGUUCAAACAACUGCUAUAACAUUGUGAACUUGUUUCUGCUGAUCAUAGCUUUUAAGACAGCUUAAGAAGAUUAUACUGAGGCUAAUACAUGGCUUUGGAACCCACAACAAGACUGAUGAACUACAAGGAAAGCAUCUGAAACCCUUUACUUGGCAUCAUAUUCUGCAACACGCCAUAGGAUGUUUCUUGAGAUAAACCAGUCUUCCUUCCGGUCUUCGGAAUCAAUCUAUCAUGUUUAAUUCCGUGAUGUCACAUGUUUUUUGCUCAUUAAAAGAAUUCAGAUAAUGUGGCUUCGUCUAUUUCUCUUCAGACUUGCGGUCUUCAAAUGUAUCAUCUCUUCUCUAUGCAUACACAC